rnacentral:tRNA from 1 species
GCGGCGAGGUGGGCGAGCGUGGCGUGGUCGUGCUGCUCGGGCCAGUGGCGGGCGAUCUCGGCCGCCUGCAACCGGCGUUCGGCCGCCGCGCGGUGCUC